GACGAACGCUGGCGGCGUGCCUAAUACAUGCAAGUAGAACGCUGAAGGAGGAGCUUGCUUCUCUGGAUGAGUUGCGAACGGGUGAGUAACGCGUAGGUAACCUGCCUGGUAGCGGGGGAUAACUAUUGGAAACGAUAGCUAAUACCGCAUAAUAGUAGAUGUUGCAUGACAUUUGCUUAAAAGGUGCACUUGCAUCACUACCAGAUGGACCUGCGUUGUAUUAGCUAGUUGGUGGGGUAACGGCUCACCAAGGCGACGAUACAUAGCCGACCUGAGAGGGUGAUCGGCCACACUGGGACUGAGACACGGCCCAGACUCCUACGGGAGGCAGCCGUAGGGAAUCUUCGGCAAUGGACGGAAGUCUGACCGAGCAACGCCGCGUGAGUGCAGAAGGUUUUCGGAUCGUAAAGGUCUGUUGUAAGAGAAGAACGAGUGUGAGAGUGGAAAGUUCACACUGUGACGGUACCUUACCAGAAAGGGCCGGCUAACUACGUG
rnacentral:rRNA from 1 species